rnacentral:rRNA from 1 species
UACGUAGGGUGCAAGCGUUGUCCGGAAUUAUUGGGCGUAAAGAGCUCGUAGGCGGUUUGUCGCGUCUGCUGUGAAAACCCGAGGCUCAACCUCGGGCCUGCAGUGGGUACGGGCAGACUAGAGUGCGGUAGGGGAGAUUGGAAUUCCUGGUGUAGCGGUGGAAUGCGCAGAUAUCAGGAAGAACACCCGUGGCGAAGGCGGCUCUCUGGGACGGUACUGACGCUGAGACGCGAAAGCGUGGGGAGCGAACAGG